rnacentral:rRNA from 1 species
CAGUAGCCACGGUAACACGGAGGAUCCAAGCGUUAUCCGGAUUUAUUGGGUUUAAAGGGUGCGUAGGUGGCCUGUUAAGUCAGGGGUGAAAGACGGUAGCUCAACUAUCGCAGUGCCCUUGAUACUGAUGGGCUUGAAUGAACUAGAGGUAGGCGGAAUGUGACAAGUAGCGGUGAAAUGCAUAGAUAUGUCACAGAACACCAAUUGCGAAGGCAGCUUACUAUGGUUUGAUUGACACUGAGGCACGAAAGCGUGGGGAUCAAACAGGAUUAGAUACCCCAGUAGUCCCUGUCUCUUAUAC